CUGGCUCAGGAUGAACGCUAGCGACAGGCCUAACACAUGCAAGUCGAGGGGCAGCACAAGGAGCAAUCUGAGGUGGCGACCGGCGCACGGGUGAGUAACACGUAUGCAACCUGCCUGUAAGCGGGGAAUAACCCGUUGAAAGACGGACUAAUACCGCAUAAUACUAAAUUACUGCAUGGUAAUUUAUUUAAACAUUUAUGGCUUACAGAUGGGCAUGCGCAUGAUUAGCUAGUUGGAGAGGUAACGGCUCCCCCAAGGCAACGAUCAUUAGGGGUUCUGAGAGGAAGGUCCCCCCACACUGGUACUGAGACACGGACCAGACUCCUACGGGAGGCAGCAGUGAGGAAUAUUGGUCAAUGGACGAGAGUCUGAACCAGCCAAGUCGCGUGCAGGAAGAAUUGUCCUAUGGAUUGUAAACUGCUUUUGCAGGGGAAUAAAGUGCAUCACGUGUGAUGUUUUGUAUGUACUCUGCGAAUAAGGAUCGGCUAACUCCGUGCCAGCCGCCGC
rnacentral:rRNA from 1 species